rnacentral:rRNA from 1 species
CGGGUGAGUAAUGUCUGGGAAACUGCCUGAUGGAGGGGGAUAACUGCUGGAAACGGUAGCUAAUACCGCAUAACGUCGCAAGACCAAAGAGGGGGACCUUCGGGCCUCUUGCCAUCGGAUGUGCCCAGAUGGGAUUAGCUAGUAGGUGGGGUAACGGCUCACCUAGGCGACGAUCCCUAGCUGGUCUGAGAGGAUGACCAGCCACACUGGACUGAGACACGGUCCAG